CAGACCGGCUGAACGCUCGGCCGGUCACUCACGAGAGCCGCAGGAUGGAUUGCAAUGGUACGAUACACAGCGCGCCGCUCUACCCAGGAAAUUUCUCGCCCAACUAGUACUAUCCUUUUCCUUUUCCUUCGGUGUUCCUUCCCCACCACUCACUCCCAAUCUCUCACAGAGGCAUGGCUGCCACAAAGCUAUUGCGUUGCUUCCACCGUCCUCCUCCUCUAUACCCAGUUCCUCGCUGCUGACCCACCGGCAAGGCUGGAUGCGGGGCGCUGCCGGUGCUUGGUGUUGGUCGUUCAGGUGGCGCGCGGCAGGAGCGGAGAGACUAUGUGUUGCGCGCGGCCGGGACGGUGCUGCCGCAAGCCUGCGGAAUCGCGAGCGACGGGGAGCGCUAAGAUCAACUACCCCAGGGGUUGCUGGAACCACUUCAUUUUUUGCUGGAACCCUUUUUUUGAUUUUGCUGCAAUUGAUAGCAAUCGUUUUUGCUACAACCAGUCGAAGUAGAGCUGGAACCGUUACGGCGAGGCUGCACCUGGGCACGACAGCGUCGACAGUGGGAGUGUCCACCGGAGUUGCAAGCAGGCGGAGCGAGGUAGACGGAGGCAGAGGAGAAGGCAGAGGCAGGAGGGCUCACCGGGAGGCAGAGGCGGAGUCGGGACAAAGUCAAUCCGGUGCGGGGCGAGGUGGACGAAACGGGAACGGCAGAUCGAACGGUUAUAAUCGCUGAAAUCGGGCGGUUGUGCAUUAACCGGCCCAAAUUGGGCCGGUCGUCCGGCGCCUAGUACUCGCCAUCCGAUAUAUGCUUUUUUUAUUGUCAUUUCGCUCAUGCCAGAUGGCGUGUUGUCCAGGUCAAAUGUAUCUAACUUAUCAUUGGUCAAAGGGGUUGCUAGUAUGUUUGGUAAUUGGUUGAGGGGCUAUCAAAUAUACGUAUUGGCUCGGUACCUCGUCUAUUCUUCAACGACAUGA